UCCAUAGUCGCUCCUUGGCUUCGCCUUCGCCUAUAAAUCCCUCUUAUCAGCUUCUCCAUUUCUGCAUACCCAUCCUUCUCUCUUCUCUCCUUCUCAGCCUUCCGUUUCUUCCUCUUUCUAUUUCUCUGUUGCACUCAAACCCUUCAAACCCUCUUCGAUCUUUUUUCUCUCCCCCGCAGGACCUCCUUCCUCUCCGGCCUUCCGGCCAAGCAAGUCUUUUCAUUUCUGCAAAGCUGCAACUCCUUGCUUACUCCUUUCUCUCCUUCUCCUUCUGAUCUAGCUAGCUGGAAUAAUGGCGCUUUGCCUGCAAGCUGCAAGCAAGCCUGUUUAAUUUCCUAUUUGCAAAUGCUAGCUGCAAUAAUGGCCAACCACCACCAGGUGAUUGCUCAGGUCUGGACUGUGUGCUCGACUAAUUUUCUUGACGCAAAGGUUCUAUGAUCCUAAAUUUCUUGGCGCGAAGGAUCUAUGAUCCUAAUGAAGGUAACCCACCAGACAUGCUUGCUUCAGUUUUCUUUGCUGCUGAAUGAAUCGCUAUAUACGCUGCUGACAUGUUACUAAUUUUAAUGAUAAAAGGUCACGCAGGGUAGUUUUGAUAACGUGGACAUUAGAAUGCUCCAAUUAAAAUGGUUGCGUUAUCAAACUGGACUUGAGUCCAUCGCCCUUGAGGUGAGAUCGUCUUCACUGUCAUCGUUAUUUUUGAGCGGUGCAAUUGAACCUGUUUGCCGCAAGCAUAUAUGAAAACAUUGCUUACGGUAAUUGAAGCAGCUCAAAUGCCUCAUAAUCAUGUGCUUUCAUUUAUUACUACUUUGCCUGAGGAUGGAACAAGGUGAUGGGAUCGUUUUAAUCUAUGUAUCAUCGUAUUACUUAUGUUUGGCUACUGCUAUUGAUGAUUGAAGCAACCCAAGGUUGGGACUUUGAUUCAGCAACAAACGAAUCAACAUUGGCAAAACCAACAGCAUCACUACUCUUGUUUCUGCUUUUCUUUUGUUUUAUUUGGAAUAAGACAGUUUCUUAUCUUCGGAAAUUGUAAUCAAAGUGUACAUUUCCGUGGAAUAAAUGGAAGAAGAAAGGGGAUAUUAUUAUGAUAA